UAACCGUGACCGGGGUGCUGCCUGGCAGCUGAGAAAUACCCGUUGCACCUGAUCUGGAUCAUGCCAGCGUAGGGAGUUCACGACGGGUAUCUC
rnacentral:ncRNA from 2 species